GUGGCCUGCAGAAGAGAAGUAGAAAAGGUAUAGAAGGAAGUAGUCUCUCAUCUCAGCAAGUGAAUCUUCCUCCAAGGCUCCUGGAAUGGGCUAGUUGGCUCAGGAAAUAUUGUUAACGUCAUUCAGCGUAGCUGUUUGAUUCACAAUAGAUUUUCCACCACCUCAACAUGGUACUGCUCACUCAACCACAGCCAGACUAGCAGCUGGUCUUAGGGCUGUGGGAAACAUUGGUGCUGUUCUCAAAAUGGCAGAGGAUAUGAGGAUGCAGAACAGGGUCCGUCCACAAGGAGAGAAAGGGCAGAGGCUUCACCUUACCUUUACAGCCACACUUCUUGCAAGUAGUGUUCAAAACAGCCUCAAGGGUGAUCUUCUGCCCAGUGUAAUCCUGGAAGGACCGCCUCCGCCUCUCUUCUUGCCUAUAAUGAAAAAGAUACUGACUUCUGGCCCCCUUAAGAGAUAUGGCCAGAGAUACUACAAGGUAUCUCUCUCCUGGAUAAAUAUGACAAGUCUAAAAGCAUUAACAGUGAAAAACUAGGUCGGGCACGGUGGCUCAAGCCUGUAAUCUCAGCCCUUUGGAGGCCGAGGCAGGUGGAUCACGAGGUCAACAGAUUGAGACCAUCCUGGUCAACAUGGUGAAACCCCGUCUCUACCAAAAAUACAAAAAAUUAGCUGGGCAUGGUGGCGCGUGCCUGUAAUCCCAGCUACUCGGGAGGCAGAGGCAGGAGAAUUGCCUGAACCCAGGAGGUGGAGGUUGAGGUGAGCUGAGAUCGCGCCAUUGCACUCCAGCCUGGGUAACAAGAGCGAAACUCCGUCUCAAAAAAAAAAAAAAAAGAAAAAGAAAAACUAGAAACAACUUAAAAUGUUAUGAGGUACAUCUGAAUGACAGAAUAAAGCCAUUAAAUUGUUUAUAAAAAAUAUUUUUAAUGGGGAAAUGUAUACGGUCCAUUAUGUGCAAGACACUACAAAUUUUAAAUAUAGAGUAUAAUCUUAAUCUCAACCUAUUAAAUUGUAUACACAUAUGUGAAUAUACAGAAAUACAACAAAAUGUUGGCCAGGUGUGGUGGCUCAUGCUUGUAAUCCCAGCACUUUGGGAGGCUAAAGUGGGCAGAUCACUUGAGGUCAAGAGUUUGAGAUCAGCCUGGCGAACAUGGUGAAAUCUUGUCUCUACUGAAAACACAAAAAUUAGCCACGUGGGGUGGUAGGCACCUAUAGACCCAGCUACGCGGGAGGCCAAGUCAGGAGAGUUAUUUGAACCCAGGAUCGCGCCAUUACCCUCCACCCUGGGUGACAAAGCAAGACUCUGUCUCAAAAAGAAAAGAAAUACACCAAAAUGUUAACAGUGCCUAUCUCUGUAUGGUAGUAACAUUACAUAAUGAUCAUUUUCUGUUGUGGUUUUUUUCCCUUCUACUUUUCUAUGAUAAGCAUUAUUUCCAAUCACAAAAAAUAAAACAAAAUUAACACUAAAUAAUAUAUAUACUAUGAUUGAAAUAAUGUGAAACUAUGUCUCACAUGGACAUAGACAAAAAGGAAAUAUAAAAAUAGUUAUAAUGGGGUACAGGAUUAUUAAAGUUGAGAUAUUAACAGCUUAUUACCUUAAGACCUUAGCUUAUACAGUGAAUUAAAAAAAGACAUCGUCUAGCCCUUGCCCUGGGUCUUGAAUGCAAAUGUCAAGUAGGCAGUUGCAUAUGUAAGUCUGUAGCUCAGGGGAAGCGUAUGAACUGUAGAUAUAAGGGCAGGAGUCUUCAGCAUGCAGAUGCUUAUGUACUAAAAUACAUUAACUAGAAUGUCACUUUAGUGACUGGUUCAAAGAGAGACACAAUUCACCAGUUUGUUAAUUUAUAAUACAAGAUACACUUUCCUUAUACCUGGAAGGUUCUCAGUCCUCUUCUAGGUAAACUAGCUGCUGCCUAGGUAUUUAAUUGCUCCCACAUGGAAUCACAACAAAAGGGAGACAACUAUUUUUGAGAUAAUUUUUUUGUUCAUGAAGGUUUAGUGGACUAUCACUUCCUCAUUAAAAAAAAUCCAUCCCUACAGUUCAUAUAAUCAGAUUAAUUUCUGCCCUAAAUAAGGCAAGAUAAACUCCACCAACUUCAAGCACUCAGCCUUUCUUUUACUAUGUUUACUAUGUUUUAAGCUGACAACUCCCCGCUUGUUCCCAUAAUCUCUCCCUCAAUAGAAUAUUAUCAUACAGGACUGGCCUGGUGGCUUAGCACUUUGAGAGGCCGAGGUGGGUGGAUCACUUAAGGUCAGAAGUUCAAGACCAGCCUGACCAACAUGGUGAAAUCCCAUCUCUACUAAAAAAAAUAAAAAAAUCUGCCAGGCGUGGUGGCACUUGCCUAUAGUGCUAGCUACUAAGGAGGCUGAGGCAUGAGAAUCACUUGAACCCAGGAAGCAGAGGUUGCAGAGAGCUGAAAUCAUGCAACUGUACUCCAGCCAGGGAAACAGAGCAAGACUUCAUCUCAAGAAGAAAAAAACAAAACAAAACAGAAUAUUAUUAUAUAAUCAACAAGAUUUCAGUCUCCUAAAUUAUAAAUUCAUCCCAAUCCUUUUUCCCUGAAAUUAAACCCAGAUUGUCUUGUUUACAUCUUUAGUGCUUCCAUCUCUUCAGUCAGAUUUAUAAGCAAUUACUUGGUUUAUUUCUAUCUAUGGCUGAACCCAUAAUCUAUAUGGGGGGACUCAUGACUAGAUUCAUUCUCAGAAAGCAGUCUGAAUUUUUGAGAGACUCCAUUGUUACCACAGACACACCACUAAAAGUUAGAUGACAUAUAUGCAGUAGAGGAUACCAUAUAAAAGAUUUGAGGCCCCUUCCCUUUGUGCGGAGUACCUCAUAUAUAUACUAUAUCCAUCCAUUCAUUUAAUCCUCUUUGACGAAGGUUCACAGGAAAACAUAGUCUGAAAUCAUAUAAAUUAUCCAGGUUCACAAGGCUGAUAAAUAACAGCAGUGCAAUUCAAACAUGAGUUUAUCAGGUCUACUUCAUCGUACCAAUAUUUUCCUCAUUUUUCUUUAUUAAUCUAUAUUAUCCUUUCAAUUAAAAAAAGAGAAAGAUGAACUUACCUACAAAUAGAGAAAGCAUAUCUAAAUCUGUUCAAGCAUAUGCUCCAAAAUCAAACAGAAACAAACAAAAAUGCUUUGCUUGCCACACCACAGGGAACGGAGCUCUUCAGAGCAAUCUGUGCCUGGAUUUCUGACAUCAAGCCAUAAAUAAAUGCCCAAGGGGCAUAUCAAGUCUGUCAUCAAGUUCAAUAAACCCAACAUGACACUUAAACAGAACAAGUCCCAUCUGAGUGUCUGCUGUUAAAAAAUAGGAAAAAAAAAAAAAACCUGACAACUUGGAAAGGGCUAGCUCUUCAA